UACGUAGGGGGCAAGCGUUGUCCGGAAUCAUUGGGCGUAAAGCGCGUGUAGGCGGCUCGAUAAGUCUGCUGUGAAAGUCCAGGGCUCAACCCUGGGAUGCCGGUGGAUACUGUCGAGCUCGAGUCCGGAAGAGGCGAGUGGAAUUCCUGGUGUAGCGGUGAAAUGCGCAGAUAUCAGGAGGAACACCAAUGGCGAAGGCAGGUCGCUGGGACGUGACUGACACUGAGACGCGAAAGCGUGGGGAGCAAACAGG
rnacentral:rRNA from 1 species